rnacentral:rRNA from 1 species
ACGGAGGUGGCAAGCGUUGUUCGGAAUUACUGGGCGUAAAGGGCGCGUAGGCGGCAUGGCAAGUCAGAUGUGAAAGCCCCGAGCUUAACUCGGGAAUUGCAUCUGAAACUGCUUUGCUUGAGUCCUGGAGGGGGUAGUGGAAUUCCCAGUGUAGCGGUGAAAUGCGUAGAUAUUGGGAGGAACACCUGCGGCGAAGGCGGCUACCUGGACAGUGACUGACGCUGAGGCGCGAAAGCUAGGGGAGCGAACGGGAUUAGAUACCCCGGUAGUCCUAGCUGUAAACGAUGGGCACUUGGUGUUGGGGGUAUUGAGUCCCUCGGUGCCGGAGUUAACACGUUAAGUGCCCCGCCUGGGGAGUACGGUCGCAAGACUG